CUUUGUGCAAAUGCUGCAACUGUAAGAGAAAGAGAAGACCUUUCUAGAAGCAGCAGAUGAGUUGUAAUACAGGAAUCAGAUCAGAAUCAGCUCAGACCUCUUGAUGAUGGAAGUUCCACUACAAGCUAAAAUGUUUCAUUAGCCUCAAAGAGGGGAACUUUACGAUGAAGGAAUCUCUGAGCUUCUCCCUCUCCCCCAGGGUGCAUCCAUAGCAACUCUGCAGAAUGAACACACCGAGUCGAAAGCUAAAUGCAGAAGAAAACCCAUUUCCUUCCAAAUUUCCACUCCCACGGGCAGUUACUGAUUACAGCCCGGCGAUGAUGUGCCGUGGACCGAAAGAGCACAGGAGGUUACUUUGUACUGCUGCCUAAUGACCUACUUCUGAAAUUGCUGGCAAGAAACACGUGUCCCCAGCAGCAGGCUCUGCACCCUGGCAAAGGCUGGAACCACCUGUGCACUCAGUCCAGUCACAAGAUACGGCGUUCUGUAUUUUCAGCAUGCCCAUGCUUCCUGAGCACAGGAUUUACCAGCAAGUUCAUCUGCAUUCACCGAGCAACAAAUGAAACAGCAUGAAAACCUUUUUGGAUUUUGCAUACUCUGAUUAUGACAUAAGAGCCAGUCCGAAAGGUAUAAUGAACUUCAAUUAACACCAAGCACACUGCCACGUUGGCUCACAGCAGGAAGCUGCUCUGUGACCUGCUCAGGGCUUCCUGUUCCGACAGCAGCUAACAGCCCUUUCAGCAGCAGAGCUCUCGGCACUGAGGAGCUGCCAUGCAGGGCGGGCUGAGGGCGGCUCAGGAUUCAGGAGAGAGCAGAGCCAGCGUGACACAGCAGCAGCUGCUAACGCUCGCCGGCUUUCUGUGUAACGUUUUCCAGCUCUUCUAACACACAUUUCUGCUCUUCCUGGCUUUUCCUUACAGCCACACACAAUAGGAGCGGCCCCAGCUAUUCCAGUCCCACAAAUGAGCCGUGAUGCUGUGGUUACGGGGUUCCUUUUGCUCCUUUCUCCCUGCCCUAAGCAAUAGCUGCCAAAAAGAUACGGCGUAAACACAACGCGCCCAUCGCCACAAGGCCUGCGCGCCCUCCAUUUUCCUGCUCUCCCCCCCCCCUUCCCCCCCAUCGAAAUCUGCCCCCGCAGAACAGGGCCGCCCUAGCAACAGGGCUGACCUCACCGCGCACCAAUCAGAACGCUGCAGCGCUCGAAUCUUCCAGAGCUUUCUUUACAACGACCUCUCCCUAUCAGCCAAUCAGCAGCCACCUUUCUUACUGCUACACCAAUCAAUGCUGACCUUGCCGCCGUUUGGAGUAGCCGUUUCACCGCAGCUCCAGAUCCCUCCGCACCCUCCGAAAUUCGGGGAUUUUUAAGGGUCUCAACUCUCUGCCGAAGACAUCAGGGACCCCCUUUGCUCUUGGAAGAGGGAUUGGAGAGGUAGGGAGGCAAGUAUUUGUUUUACCAGGGGGGUUUUGUAAGGGACUACUUUGAGGGGUGGAUGGAUACGUCAGCGCUGGAGGGGCGGGGACUGUCGCGCGGCUGGCGCAUAAAUACGUGCGGCGCUGCGUCACCCCGCAGAAUACAGUUGCUGCAUUGGGAGUUGUGUUUGUUGAGAGACUGCGCUCAGGGCCGGAGACGUAAACAUGCAGAUCUUUGUGAAGACCCUGACUGGCAAGACCAUCACCCUUGAGGUUGAACCCAGUGA